GACGUAGGGCGCGAGCGUUGUCCGGAUUUAUUGGGCGUAAAGAGCUCGUAGGCGGCUUGUCGCGUCGUUCGUGAAAACCUGCAGCUCAACUGCAGGCUUGCGGUCGAUACGGGCAGGCUAGAGUUCGGCAGGGGAGACUGGAAUUCCUGGUGUAGCGGUGGAAAUGCGCAGAUAUCAGGAGGAACACCGGUGGCGAAGGCGGGUCUCUGGGCCGAUACUGACGCUGAGGAGCGAAAGCGUGGGGAGCGAACAGG
rnacentral:rRNA from 1 species